rnacentral:rRNA from 1 species
AGACCCGAAACCCGGUGAUCUAGCCAUGGGCAGGUUGAAGGUUGGGUAACACUAACUGGAGGACCGAACCGACUAAUGUUGAAAAAUUAGCGGAUGACCUGUGGCUGGGGGUGAAAGGCCAAUCAAACCGGGAGAUAGCUGGUUCUCCCCGAAAGCUAUUUAGGUAGCGCCUCGUGAAUUCAUCUCCGGGGGUAGAGCACUGUUUCGGCUAGGGGGCCAUCCCGGCUUACCAACCCGAUGCAAACUGCGAAUACCGGAGAAUGUUAUCACGGGAGACACACGGCGGGUGCUAACGUCCGUCGUGAAGAGGGAAACAACCCAGACCGCCAGCUAAGGUCCCAAAGUCAUGGUUAAGUGGGAAACGAUGUGGGAAGGCCCAGACAGCCAGGAUGUUGGCUUAGAAGCAGCCAUCAUUUAAAGAAAGCGUAAUAGCUCACUGGUCGAGUCGGCCUGCGCGGAAGAUGUAACGGGGCUAAACCAUGCACCGAAGCUGCGGCAGCGACACUGUGUGUUGUUGGGUAGGGGAGCGUUCUGUAAGCCUGUGAAGGUGUGUCGUGAGGCAUGCUGGAGGUAUCAGAAGUGCGAAUGCUGACAUAAGUAACGAUAAAGCGGGUGAAAAGCCCGCUCGCCGGAAGACCAAGGGUUCCUGUCCAACGUUAAUCGGGGCAGGGUGAGUCGACCCCUAAGGCGAGGCCGAAAGGCGUAGUCGAUGGGAAACGGGUUAAUAUUCCCGUACUUGGUGUUACUGCGAAGGGGGGACGGAGAAGGCUAUGUUGGCCGGGCGACGGUUGUCCCGGUUUAAGCGUGUAGGUGUGUGUUCCAGGUAAAUCCGGUUCACUUUAACACUGAGGCGUGACGACGAGGCACUACGGUGCUGAAGCAACAAAUGCCCUGCUUCCAGGAAAAGCCUCUAAGCAUCAGGUAACAUCAAAUCGUACCCCAAACCGACACAGGUGGUCAGGUAGAGAAUACCAAGGCGCUUGAGAGAACUCGGGUGAAGGAACUAGGCAAAAUGGUGCCGUAACUUCGGGAGAAGGCACGCUGACACGUAGGUGAAGUGAUUUACUCAUGGAGCUGAAGUCAGUCGAAGAUACCAGCUGGCUGCAACUGUUUAUUAAAAACACAGCACUGUGCAAACACGAAAGUGGACGUAUACGGUGUGACGCCUGCCCGGUGCCGGAAGGUUAAUUGAUGGGGUCAGCGCAAGCGAAGCUCCUGAUCGAAGCCCCGGUAAACGGCGGCCGUAACUAUAACGGUCCUAAGGUAGCGAAAUUCCUUGUCGGGUAAGUUCCGACCUGCACGAAUGGCGUAAUGAUGGCCAGGCUGUCUCCACCCGAGACUCAGUGAAAUUGAACUCGCUGUGAAGAUGCAGUGUACCCGCGGCAAGACGGAAAGACCCCGUGAACCUUUACUAUAGCUUGACACUGAACAUUGAGCCUUGAUGUGUAGGAUAGGUGGGAGGCUUUGAAGUGUGGACGCCAGUCUGCAUGGAGCCGACCUUGAAAUACCACCCUUUAAUGUUUGAUGUUCUAACGUGGACCCGUUACCCGGGUUGCGGACAGUGUCUGGUGGGUAGUUUGACUGGGGCGGUCUCCUCCUAAAGAGUAACGGAGGAGCACGAAGGUUGGCUAAUCCUGGUCGGACAUCAGGAGGUUAGUGCAAUGGCAUAAGCCAGCUUGACUGCGAGCGUGACGGCGCGAGCAGGUGCGAAAGCAGGUCAUAGUGAUCCGGUGGUUCUGAAUGGAAGGGCCAUCGCUCAACGGAUAAAAGGUACUCCGGGGAUAACAGGCUGAUACCGCCCAAGAGUUCAUAUCGACGGCGGUGUUUGGCACCUCGAUGUCGGCUCAUCACAUCCUGGGGCUGAAGUAGGUCCCAAGGGUAUGGCUGUUCGCCAUUUAAAGUGGUACGCGAGCUGGGUUUAGAACGUCGUGAGACAGUUCGGUCCCUAUCUGCCGUGGGCGCUGGAGAACUGAGGGGGGCUGCUCCUAGUACGAGAGGACCGGAGUGGACGCAUCACUGGUGUUCGGGUUGUCAUGCCAAUGGCACUGCCCGGUAGCUAAAUGCGGAAGAGAUAAGUGCUGAAAGCAUCUAAGCACGAAACUUGCCCCGAGAUGAGUUCUCCCUGAGACUUAAAGUCUCCUGAAGGAACGUUGAAGACGACGACGUUGAUAGGCCGGGUG